UGACUGUUUCUCUGGGCAUAUCAUAUCCAGCACAGGGACAAUCAGCACUGGAGCCCCUCAACGGUGUGUGCUCUCCCCACUGCUCUUCUCCCUCUA